GAUGAAGAACGUAGCGAAAUGCGAUAAGUAAUGUGAAUUGCAGAAUUCAGUGAAUCAUCGAAUCUUUGAACGCACAUUGCGCCCCUUGGUAUUCCGGCGGGCAUGCCUGUUCGAGCGUCAUUUCAACCAUCAAGCCCUAGGCUUGCGUUGGAGCCCUGCGGCUGCCGCAGGCUCCCAAAUCCAGUGGCGGGCUCGUCGUCGUACCGAGUGCAGUAAACAUCCUCGCUCAGGGAACGUGACGGGUUCUUGCCGUGAAACCCCCCACAUAUCAAGGUUGACCUCGGAUCAGGUAGGAAUACCCGCUGAACUUAAGCAUAUCAAUAAGCGGAGGA
rnacentral:misc_RNA from 1 species